rnacentral:rRNA from 1 species
GGGUUGUAAGCCCUUUUGUUGGGAAAGAAAUCCUGCCGGUUAAUAACCAGUAGGGAUGACGGUACCCAAAGAAUAAGCACCGGCUAACUUCGUGCCAGCAGCCGCGGUAAUACGAAGGGUGCAAGCGUUACUCGGAAUUACUGGGCGUAAAGCGUGCGUAGGUGGUUGUUUAAGUCUGUUGUGAAAGCCCUGGGCUCAACCUGGGAAUUGCAAUGGAUACUGGGCGACUAGAGUGUGGUAGAGGACAGUGGAAUUUCCGGUGUAGCAGUGAAAUGCGUAGAGAUCGGAAGGAACAUCUGUGGCGAAGGCGACUGUCUGGGCCAACACUGACACUGAGGCACGAAAGCGUGGGGAGCAAACAGGAUUAGAUACCCUGGUAGUCC